GUUAAGACAAGGAUAUUGAAGACCAAUUCAAAUAAGCUUUUGUAAAAAGUAGAAUGAAGAAGAUUCUGUGGUCUUUAUCUUACUAGAUGGGCAAAGUAUGUUUAAAUGCACUGAGAUCAGUUAGUAUGGACUUGAUUAAAAACUUUUUUUUUUUUUUUAAGGAAUGGAUGAAUUUGACUUAAUCACAAUGGAGAAUUUUUCACUGAUCUCAGGGUGGGGAUGGGAUGAUAUUUCACAAGGAAAAGAGGCUGAAAUCUGGAAGUUGCCUGUGGGGCAUGUCACACUGAUUUGCAUUGAUU
rnacentral:lncRNA from 1 species